GAGUUUGAUCAUGGCUCAGAUUGAACGCUGGCGGCAUGCCUUACACAUGCAAGUCGAACGGCAGCACGGGAGCUUGCUCCUGGGUGGCGAGUGGCGAACGGGUGAGUAAUGCAUCGGAACGUAUCCUGGAGUGGGGGAUAACGUAGCGAAAGUUACGCUAAUACCGCAUAUUCUGUGGGCAGGAAAGCGGGGGACCUUCGGGCCUCGCGCUCUUGGAGCGGCCGAUGUCGGAUUAGCUAGUUGGUGAGGUAAAGGCUCACCAAGGCGACGAUCCGUAGCAGGUCUGAGAGGAUGAUCUGCCACACUGGAACUGAGACACGGUCCAGACUCCUACGGGAGGCAGCAGUGGGGAAUUUUGGACAAUGGGGGCAACCCUGAUCCAGCCAUGCCGCGUGAGUGAAGAAGGCC
rnacentral:rRNA from 1 species